ACUGUGAGUUAACUUUCAAGAUACAAGAUCGUGUAGGUUAGUUUAAAAACUUGGUCGUUUUUAACCCUUCAUUUAAAACUUAAUGCUCACUGUAAUUGUUAAUCAUAUAUUGGUUUGAAUAAUUUACGUAAUGUUUGUGUUAUUGUUGAACUUUAACUGUAAAUUAUGUAUUUAAUUUGUUAGAUUUAAAGCAUGUUAUUGUUAUAAGGAUACUAUAAUUAGAGGGUGAUGAAUAGUGAUAACAACUUGCACUUACAAUGUAAAAUUUCUUUGUUAACCGAAGGACAUUACAACAACUUAACUUUAAA
rnacentral:lncRNA from 1 species